GUGUCAGCAGCCGCGGUAAUACGAAGGGUGCGAGCGUUAAUCGGAAUUACUGGGCGUAAAGCGCGCGUAGGUGGUUUGGUAAGCGAUAUGUGAAAUCCCCGGGCUCAACCUGGGAACUGCAUGUCGAACUGCCAGGCUAGAGUAUAGUAGAGGAGUGUGGAAUUCCCGGUGUAGCGGUGAAAUGCGUAGAUAUCGGGAGGAACAUCAGUGGCGAAGGCGGCACUCUGGACUGAUACUGACACUGAGGCGCGAAAGCGUGGGUAGCGAACAGGAUUAGAAACCCCUGUAGUCC
rnacentral:rRNA from 1 species